UACGUAGGCAGCGAGCGUUGUUCGGAGUUACUGGGCGUAAAGAGUGCGUAGGCGGUUUUCUAAGUUUGGUGUGAAAUCUCCCGGCUUAACUGGGAGGGUGCGCCGAAGACUGGAAGGCUCAGAGUGUGGGAGAGGUAAGCGGAAUUCCUGGUGUAGCGGUGAAAUGCGUAGAUAUCAGGAGGAACACCUGCGGUGUAGACGGCUUACUGGACCAUAACUGACGCUGAGGCACGAAAGCGUGGGUAGCAAACAGG
rnacentral:rRNA from 1 species